UUCCUCAGUAGCUCAGUGGUAGAGCGGUCGGCUGUUAACCGAUUGGUCGCAGGUUCGAAUCCCGCCUGGGGAGU
rnacentral:tRNA from 1 species